rnacentral:rRNA from 1 species
AUACGGAAGAUGCGAGCGUUAUCCGGAUUUAUUGGGUUUAAAGGGAGCGUAGGCGGGCUUUUAAGUCAGCGGUUAGAUGUCAGUGCCCAACAUUGGCAUGCCGUUGAUACUGGGAGUCUUGAAUACACACAAGGAUGGUGGAAUUCGUCGUGUAGCGGUGAAAUGCUUAGAUAUGACGAAGAACUCCGAUUGCGAAGGCAGCCAUCUGGGGUGCGAUUGACGCUGAGGCUCGAAAGUGCGGGUAUCAAACAGGAUUAGAUACCCUGGUAGUCCGCACAGUAAACGAUGAAUGCUCGUUCUGGGCGAUAUAAUGUCCGGGACCAAGGGAAACCAUUAAGCAUUCCACCUGGGGAGUACGCCGGCAACGGUGAAACUCAAAUGAAUUGACGGGG